rnacentral:misc_RNA from 1 species
GCCCUCUAUGAUUUCUAUUUCAUUCAUUUUGAAUUAAAAUAUCACAAAAUUUUCUAUUUAAAAUCAUCUCUUAAGAAUUAAUAUUUUAUUAAUUUGAUUUUGGGACAUUUAAUUACGAUUUUAAUAUAAAAAAUGAGCAAAUAUCUUCUUUUGAGAUAUUCGUUUCUUCAAAAAAAAAAAUGAAUCAUUGAUUAAUCAAUAUCAAUUUAAUCAAUCAAAAUAGAAUUGACAAAACUUGCCAACCUUUUGACAAAAAAUAAGAUAAAAGAAUAAUACUCAAUUUAGUAAUCAAUCCUUAAGAAAAAUAUAUAUAUUGUUAUGUAAUAGACAGAAAAAAUCUAGGCAAAUACAAUACUACUUAUUGAAUCAUUGAAAAUAAAAUAUAAGGAGCAAAAGCCCCUCUUGGUAAACCAAGAAAGAGUUUAUUGCUCCUUAUAUUUUUCUAUUAUUAUUCUAUUUUCAAAACCUCCUAUACACCAAGACCAAGUCUUAUCC